rnacentral:rRNA from 1 species
UACGUAGGGUGCAAGCGUUAAUCGGAAUUACUGGGCGUAAAGCGUGCGCAGGCGGUUGUGCAAGACCGAUGUGAAAUCCCCGGGCUUAACCUGGGAAUGGCAUUGGUGACUGCACGGCUAGAGUGUGUCAGAGGGGGGUAGAAUUCCACGUGUAGCAGUGGGAUGCGUAGAGAUGUGGAGGAAUACCGAUGGCGAAGGCAGCCCCCUGGGAUAACACUGACGCUCAUGCACGAAAGCGUGGGGAGCAAACAGG